GGGAACUCAAAGGAGACUGCCGGUGAUAAACCGGAGGAAGGUGGGGAUGACGUCAAGUCAUCAUGGCCCUUACGAGUAGGGCUACACACGUGCUACAAUGGCAUAUACAAAGAGAAGCGAACUCGCGAGAGCAAGCGGACCUCAUAAAGUAUGUCGUAGUCCGGAUUGGAGUCUGCAACUCGACUCCAUGAAGUCGGAAUCGCUAGUAAUCGUAGAUCAGAAUGCUACGGUGAAUACGUUCCCGGGCCUUGUACACACCGCCCGUCACACCAUGGGAGUGGGUUGCAAAAGAAGUAGGUAGCUUAACCUUCGGGAGGGCGCUUACCACUUUGUGAUUCAUGACUGGGGUGAAGUCGUAACAAGGUAACCGUAGGGGAACCUGCGGUUGGAUCACCUCCUUACCUAAAGA
rnacentral:rRNA from 1 species